rnacentral:rRNA from 1 species
UACAGAGGUCUCAAGCGUUGUUCGGAUUCAUUGGGCGUAAAGAGCUCGUAGGCGGUUUGUCGCGUCUGCUGUGAAAACCUCAGGCUCAACCUGGGGCUUGCAGUGGGUACGGGCAGACUAGAGUGCGGUAGGGGUGACUGGAAUUCCCGGUGUAGAGGUGAAAUUCGUAGAUAUCGGGAGGAACACCGGUGGCGAAGGCGGCGAUCUGGGUAGAUACUGACGCUGAGGUGCGAAAGCGUGGGGAGCAAACAGG